rnacentral:misc_RNA from 1 species
UCUUAUUAUCGAGAAAAAGACUGAAAAGAUCUGGCGCGCUCCUUUUAUUCCUAUCUUCUUGAUCGCUCGCCGACUGGCACGGACUCGGUGUGCUUUCAUCUUUGUUGAACCGAGCUUUUCUGGAGAAUUGGGGUAUGGAUACAUCGAAACCUGCAAUUUUUGUCAAUGGAGGGCUGUUGCCCAUGCAUGUGCAGAAGAGGGUCCGAAUUGUCAUUCAAGUUCUUGGAUCUGAUCGUGGAGCUGUAAUUGGGAAAUCAACAGAUGAUCACCAGCUUACUGUCAA